rnacentral:misc_RNA from 1 species
AUCCAAAAAUUUAUUCCUGCUUUCCUAAGAGUUUCAAUUGUUUCUGGUACACCAUCCUGCAGGCGAUCUUCUAUUGCAGUAACUCCAAGAACUUCAAGAUCGUGUUCUAAUCUCUGGCAGACUUCAGCUAUUCUCCACUCCCUAUCAACCAAUGCGCUACUGGCCUCUCUAAACAUCAAAUACCACUCAUGAUAUUCAUCCUCUUUUAAUUCCCGCCAGGCCAAGCAUAAUGUCCGCAGCCCCAAUUGGGCAUAUUGUUCUACAGCUUCACUAAAUGUCCUUGUUUGUUGUCCUGCAGCAGCAUAAGGAAGAAUAGCUUCAUCCGCUCCUUUUGACAAAAGGAUAAUCUUUCCAUUCUGGCAAUCUCUGACCACAACUGACAUCCUUUUCCUGUCAGAAGUGAACUCCAGAGUCUCCAACACUUCAUAAUGAAAUACAGAAGCAUUGUAUCUGGUCUCAAGAAUAUUUCCACUUCUAUUGAACAAAAC